UGGGGAAUCUUCCGCAAUGGACGAAAGUCUGACGGAGCAACGCCGCGUGAGUGAUGAAGGCCUUCGGGUUGUAAAACUCUGUUGUCAGGGACGAACGUGCCGAUCUACAAUACAUUUCGGCAGUGACGGUACCUGACGAGGAAGCCACGGCUAACUACGUGCCAGCAGCCGCGGUAAUACGUAGGUGGCAAGCGUUGUCCGGAAUUAUUGGGCGUACAGAGCAUGUAGGCGGGCUUUUAAGUCCGACGUGAAAAUGCGGGGCUUAACACCGUAUGGCGUUGGAUACUGGAAGUCUUGAGUGCAGGAGAGGAAAGGGGAAUUCCCAGUGUAGCGGUGAAAUGCGUAGAUAUUGGGAGGAACACCAGUGGCGAAGGCGCCUUUCUGGACUGUGUCUGACGCUGAGAUGCGAAAGCCAGGGUAGCAAACGGG
rnacentral:rRNA from 1 species